GGUCCCGCCUGCCCAGUGACACAUGUUUAACGGCCGCGGUAUUCUAACCGUGCAAAGGUAGCGUAAUCACUUGUCUUCUAAAUAAAGACUCGUAUGAACGGCUAAAUGAGGAUAAUACUGUCUCCUAUGACCAAUCAGUGAAACUGAUCUCCCAGUACAAAAGCUGGGAUAUACCCAUAAGACGAGAAGACCCUGUGGAGCUUCAAACAAACUACUACUAAACAACAUGAACUGCAACUAGUACUAUGUUUUAAGUUGGGGCGACUUUGGAACAAAACAGAACUUCCAAGCACAAGACCACAAAUCCUGUCGAGGCCAACAGGCCAAAACACAUCAAGCAUGACCCAGUCACACUGAUCAACGAACCAAGUUACCCCAGGGAUAACAGCGCAAUCUUCUUCAAGAGUCCAUAUCGACAAGAAGGUUUACGACCUCGAUGUUGGAUCAGGACACCCAAAUGGUGCAGCCGCUAUUAAAGGUUCGUUUGUUCAACGAUU
rnacentral:rRNA from 1 species